rnacentral:rRNA from 1 species
UACGUAGGGUGCAGGCGUUAAUCGGAAUUACUGGGCGUAAAGCGUGCGCAGGCGGUUUGCUAAGAGAGAUGUGAAAUCCCCGGGCUUAACCUGGGAACUGCGUUUCUAACUGGCAGGCUUGCGUGUGGCAGAGGGGGGUGGAAUUCCACGUGUAGCAGUGAAAUGCGUAGAGAUGUGGAGGAACACCGAUGGCGAAGGCAGCCCCCUGGGCUAACACUGACGCUCAUGCACGAAAGCGUGGGGAGCAAACAGG